rnacentral:rRNA from 1 species
UACGUAGGGGGCAAGCGUUAUCCGGAUUUACUGGGUGUAAAGGGAGCGUAGACGGCUGAACAAGUCUGGAGUGAAAUCCCGGGGCUCAACCCCGGAGCUGCUCUGGAAACUGUAUAGCUAGAGUACUGGAGAGGCAGGCGGAAUUCCUAGUGUAGCGGUGAAAUGCGUAGAUAUUAGGAGGAACACCAGUGGCGAAGGCGGCCUGCUGGACAGUGACUGACGUUGAGGCUCGAAAGCGUGGGGAGCAAACAGG